rnacentral:rRNA from 1 species
AUACGGAGGAUCCGAGCGUUAUCCGGAUUUAUUGGGUUUAAAGGGUGCGCAGGCGGCCAUUUAAGUCAGCGGUUAAAUCGUGGGGCUCAACCCCAUUCUGCCGUUGAUACUGGGUGGCUUGAUUGCGGUCGAGGUUGGCGGAAUUCGUUGUGUAGCGGUGAAAUGCAUAGAUAUGACGAAGAACACCGAUUGCGUAGGCAGCUGACCAGACCGCAAAUGACGCUCAUGCACGAAAGUGCGGGGAUCGAACAGGAUUAGACACCCUGGUAGUCCGCACAGUAAACGAUGAAUACUUGUUUUCGGCGAUAUAAUGUCGGAGGCAAAGCGAAAGCGAUAAGUAUUCCACCUGGGGAGUACGCCGGCAACGGUGAAACUCAAAUGAAUUGGCGGGG